UACGAAGGGGGCUAGCGUUGCUCGGAAUCACUGGGCGUAAAGCGCACGUAGGCGGCUUCUUAAGUCAGGGGUGAAAGCCUGGAGCUCAACUCCAGAACUGCCUUUGAUACUGAGGAGCUUGAGUCCGGGAGAGGUGAGUGGAACUCCGAGUGUAGAGGUGAAAUUCGUAGAUAUUCGGAAGAACACCAGUGGCGAAGGCGGCUCACUGGCCCGGUACUGACGCUGAGAUACGAAAGCGUGGGGAGCAAACAGG
rnacentral:rRNA from 1 species